UACUAUACAUGUAGGUGUGAAUGUCCUGAAAAAAGAACAGAUAUCAAAUAUUAGCUCCUCAGAUGUCAGUGGAAGGGGAAGCUAUAUAUAUACAUUAUAUGUUUAAAUGAAAUUGGCAACAGGAUUAGAUAUAGAGGAGAUCCUAUAGCUACAGUAUAUGUAACUGCAACUGUAUUCCAAGAGUCUGAUGGCUGAUAAUGUAUUACAGGAUUUUAUCAUUCAAGCAACAUCUUAGAAUCCUAGGAUAAGUGCUAAUGUAUGAAGGAAGCCUUGGAUACAAAUAGCAAUUACAGCAAUUCCAUACAGGAUAGAACUCUUACACGUGGUCAUGAUAUGGGAAUGAUGUAUUCAAGAAAUUUAAAACACAUGGAAUUAAAUAUUGUGUAUAUUUUUUCAACCACAAGUACUUUCAGAUUAUAAUACAAUUCAAAUUCAAAUUAUUGUGUCAAAUGACAAUUAUAGUCUAAAAUGAAUAACACAUGUUUUAAACUGAAUUUUAUAUAAAUAUUUGAAAUUACAAGAAUUUUUAGCUUAUUAUGCAGCCAAACUUUGAAAUCUUCUAAUGGUAUAUGCUUAUUGUUUGUAAACAAAUUGUUUUGAAAUAAGAAGGAAAUGGUUGAAAAUAACUGCAAUUUAUCAAUAUAAUGUGAUAUGAGGUAUAAAUCAAUCAGACAGCAACACAACAACAAAAGCACAUAAAAGGCAUUAAGGUGCUAACAUACAGUCCUCAACAAUAAACAGGUGUCUUAACAAUUUCAUGAUCUACUUAAUUGACCAGAGUCUACCAAUCAAAGCACUGCUAUUAACACCAAAUUUUUGAAAUAUGUUUAGUAAGGAUGAGACUUUAGACAACUACGGAAACCCUGGC